GAUGAACGCUAGCGGCAGGCCUAACACAUGCAAGUCGAGGGGUAGCAGGAUUAAGCUUGCUUAAUUGCUGACGACCGGCGCACGGGUGCGUAACGCGUAUGCAACCUACCUUAUACUGGGGUAUAGCCCGGAGAAAUUCGGAUUAAUCCCCCAUAGUACUAAUGAAUCGCAUGGUUUAUUAGUUAAAGCAUUGCGGUAUAAGAUGGGCAUGCGUCCUAUUAGCCAGAUGGUGAGGUAACGGCUCACCAUGGCUACGAUAGGUAGGGAGCCUGAGAGGGUGGUCCCCCACACUGGUACUGAGACACGGACCAGACUCCUACGGGAGGCAGCAGUGAGGAAUAUUGGUCAAUGGGCGCAAGCCUGAACCAGCCAUGCCGCGUGCAGGAAGAAUGCCCUAUGGGUUGUAAACUGCUUUUAUUUGGGAAUAAAACUCUUUACGUGUAGAGAGCUGAAGGUACCAAAUGAAUAAGCACCGGCUAACUCCGUGCCAGCCGCCGCCGUAA
rnacentral:rRNA from 1 species